rnacentral:misc_RNA from 1 species
GAUGAAGAACGUAGCGAAAUGCGAUAAGUAGUGUGAAUUGCAGAAUUCAGUGAAUCAUCGAAUCUUUGAACGCACAUUGCGCCCCUUGGUAUUCCAUGGGGCAUGCCUGUUCGAGCGUCAUUUGUACCUUCAAGCUUUGCUUGGUGUUGGGUGUUUGUCUCGCCUUUGCGUGUAGACUCGCCUUAAAAUAAUUGGCAGCCGGCGUAUUGAUUUCGGAGCGCAGUACAUCUCGCGCUUUGCACUCAUAACGACAGCGUCCAAAAGUACAUUUUACACUCUUGACCUCGGAUCAGGUAGGGAUACCCGCUGAACUUGAGCAUAUCAAUAAGCGGAGGA